rfam:Myotis davidii contig18019, whole genome shotgun sequence.
UGUGGUUCUCGGGUGACACACCCAGAACCAGAGAGGAGGGAGCCUGAUUCCAGGGUGCGUCACCUGAGAACCACC